CCUACGGGCGGCAGCAGUCGAGAAUCAUUCACAAUGGGGGAAACCCUGAUGGUGCGACGCCGCGUGGGGGAAUGAAGGUCUUCGGAUUGUAAACCCCUGUCAUGUGGGAGCAAAUUAAAAAGAUAGUACCACAAGAGGAAGAGACGGCUAACUCUGUGCCAGCAGCCGCGGUAAUACAGAGGUCUCAAGCGUUGUUCGGAAUCACUGGGCGUAAAGCGUGCGUAGGCUGUUUCGUAAGUAGUGUGUGAAAGGCGAGGGCUCAACCCGCGGACGGCACAUGAUACUGCGAGACUAGAGUAAUGGAGGGGGAAGCGGAAUUCUCGGUGUAGCAGUGAAAUGCGUAGAUAGCGAGAGGAACACUCGUGGCGAAGGCGGGUUCCUGGACAUUAACUGACGCUGAGGCACGAAGGCCAGGGGAGCGAAAGGGAUUAGAUACCCCAGUAGUC
rnacentral:rRNA from 1 species